rfam:Callithrix jacchus chromosome 5, whole genome shotgun sequence
ACACCGGCUUUUCUAAGAUCCACAAAUAUUAACAUUCAAAAUUUCU